GUUGAAACCCCGGUUCUCGUACGAUCACUAAAGUUAAGCAACGUCGAGUCUGGUCAGUACCUAGAUGGGUGACUGUUUGGGGAUACCAGGUGCUUCAA